UCUAGCGACUAAGCGUACACGGUGGAUGCCCUGGCAGUCAGAGGCGAUGAAGGACGUGCUAAUCUGCGAUAAGCGUCGGUAAGGUGAUAUGAACCGUUAUAACCGGCGAUUUCCGAAUGGGGAAACCCAGUGUGUUUCGACACACUAUCAUUAACUGAAUCCAUAGGUUAAUGAGGCGAACCGGGGGAACUGAAACAUCUAAGUACCCCGAGGAAAAGAAAUCAACCGAGAUUCCCCCAGUAGCGGCGAGCGAACGGGGAGCAGCCCAGAGCCUGAAUCAGUGUGUGUGUUAGUGGAAGCGUCUGGAAAGGCGCGCGAUACAGGGUGACAGCCCCGUACACAAAAAUGCACAUGCUGUGAGCUCGAUGAGUAGGGCGGGACACGUGGUAUCCUGUCUGAAUAUGGGGGGACCAUCCUCCAAGGCUAAAUACUCCUGACUGACCGAUAGUGAACCAGUACCGUGAGGGAAAGGCGAAAAGAACCCCGGCGAGGGGAGUGAAAAAGAACCUGAAACCGUGUACGUACAAGCAGUGGGAGCACGCUUAGGCGUGUGACUGCGUACCUUUUGUAUAAUGGGUCAGCGACUUAUAUUCUGUAGCAAGGUUAACCGAAUAGGGGAGCCGAAGGGAAACCGAGUCUUAACUGGGCGUUAAGUUGCAGGGUAUAGACCCGAAACCCGGUGAUCUAGCCAUGGGCAGGUUGAAGGUUGGGUAACACUAACUGGAGGACCGAACCGACUAAUGUUGAAAAAUUAGCGGAUGACUUGUGGCUGGGGGUGAAAGGCCAAUCAAACCGGGAGAUAGCUGGUUCUCCCCGAAAGCUAUUUAGGUAGCGCCUCGUGAAUUCAUCUCCGGGGGUAGAGCACUGUUUCGGCAAGGGGGUCAUCCCGACUUACCAACCCGAUGCAAACUGCGAAUACCGGAGAAUGUUAUCACGGGAGACACACGGCGGGUGCUAACGUCCGUCGUGAAGAGGGAAACAACCCAGACCGCCAGCUAAGGUCCCAAAGUCAUGGUUAAGUGGGAAACGAUGUGGGAAGGCCCAGACAGCCAGGAUGUUGGCUUAGAAGCAGCCAUCAUUUAAAGAAAGCGUAAUAGCUCACUGGUCGAGUCGGCCUGCGCGGAAGAUGUAACGGGGCUAAACCAUGCACCGAAGCUGCGGCAGCGACGCUUAUGCGUUGUUGGGUAGGGGAGCGUUCUGUAAGCCUGCGAAGGUGUGCUGUGAGGCAUGCUGGAGGUAUCAGAAGUGCGAAUGCUGACAUAAGUAACGAUAAAGCGGGUGAAAAGCCCGCUCGCCGGAAGACCAAGGGUUCCUGUCCAACGUUAAUCGGGGCAGGGUGAGUCGACCCCUAAGGCGAGGCCGAAAGGCGUAGUCGAUGGGAAACAGGUUAAUAUUCCUGUACUUGGUGUUACUGCGAAGGGGGGACGGAGAAGGCUAUGUUGGCCGGGCGACGGUUGUCCCGGUUUAAGCGUGUAGGCUGGUUUUCCAGGCAAAUCCGGAAAAUCAAGGCUGAGGCGUGAUGACGAGGCACUACGGUGCUGAAGCAACAAAUGCCCUGCUUCCAGGAAAAGCCUCUAAGCAUCAGGUAACAUCAAAUCGUACCCCAAACCGACACAGGUGGUCAGGUAGAGAAUACCAAGGCGCUUGAGAGAACUCGGGUGAAGGAACUAGGCAAAAUGGUGCCGUAACUUCGGGAGAAGGCACGCUGAUAUGUAGGUGAAGCGACUUGCUCGUGGAGCUGAAAUCAGUCGAAGAUACCAGCUGGCUGCAACUGUUUAUUAAAAACACAGCACUGUGCAAACACGAAAGUGGACGUAUACGGUGUGACGCCUGCCCGGUGCCGGAAGGUUAAUUGAUGGGGUUAGCGCAAGCGAAGCUCUUGAUCGAAGCCCCGGUAAACGGCGGCCGUAACAAUAACGGUCCUAAGGUAGCGAAAUUCCUUGUCGGGUAAGUUCCGACCUGCACGAAUGGCGUAAUGAUGGCCAGGCUGUCUCCACCCGAGACUCAGUGAAAUUGAACUCGCUGUGAAGAUGCAGUGUACCCGCGGCAAGACGGAAAGACCCCGUGAACCUUUACUAUAGCUUGACACUGAACAUUGAGCCUUGAUGUGUAGGAUAGGUGGGAGGCUUUGAAGUGUGGACGCCAGUCUGCAUGGAGCCGACCUUGAAAUACCACCCUUUAAUGUUUGAUGUUCUAACGUGGACCCGUGAUCCGGGUUGCGGACAGUGUCUGGUGGGUAGUUUGACUGGGGCGGUCUCCUCCCAAAGAGUAACGGAGGAGCACGAAGGUUGGCUAAUCCUGGUCGGACAUCAGGAGGUUAGUGCAAUGGCAUAAGCCAGCUUGACUGCGAGCGUGACGGCGCGAGCAGGUGCGAAAGCAGGUCAUAGUGAUCCGGUGGUUCUGAAUGGAAGGGCCAUCGCUCAACGGAUAAAAGGUACUCCGGGGAUAACAGGCUGAUACCGCCCAAGAGUUCAUAUCGACGGCGGUGUUUGGCACCUCGAUGUCGGCUCAUCACAUCCUGGGGCUGAAGUAGGUCCCAAGGGUAUGGCUGUUCGCCAUUUAAAGUGGUACGCGAGCUGGGUUUAGAACGUCGUGAGACAGUUCGGUCCCUAUCUGCCGUGGGCGCUGGAGAACUGAGGGGGGCUGCUCCUAGUACGAGAGGACCGGAGUGGACGCAUCACUGGUGUUCGGGUUGUCAUGCCAAUGGCACUGCCCGGUAGCUAAAUGCGGAAGAGAUAAGUGCUGAAAGCAUCUAAGCACGAAACUUGCCCCGAGAUGAGUUCUCCCUGACUCCUUGAGAGUCCUGAAGGAACGUUGAAGACGACGACGUUGAUAGGCCGGGUGUGUAAGCGCAGCGAUGCGUUGAGCUAACCGGUACUAAUGAAC
rnacentral:rRNA from 1 species